rnacentral:lncRNA from 1 species
UACAAUCAUAAUCACCGAGCAAUUCCAUCCACCUCCGCUGCCGAAGAUUAAGAUCCCUCUGAGUAAAAAGAUACUGAAGACUAUUAUUGUUGGAAGUAUGCCCACAAAGCCACUCAUUUGAUGUAAUAGCUUUUUGGAAUACUUAUUGUGUUAAACUUUUAUAUGUUUAAUGAAGGGCAAAUCUUAUUAUUAAUCACUAUUUAUUGUAUCAUGUGUUUAAACA